GGGGCAUGUUCUUGGUUUUCCUUGGAGCCACUACCCUUCUAGGCUCCAUAUCCACCAUCGGUUCAUCAACAUCCUCUUCUGCAGGUCUUUUCCCCAUCGAAACUUCUUCUUUGGAAAUCGGGUGGGUCUGACCCGAUCGACUGGCCCGAUCGGGUGAUCGGGUUCGUGCUCGGGCUUCUCUUCUUCCGCUUCUGACCCGAUCGAUUCCGGUUCCAGUG
rnacentral:lncRNA from 1 species